CAGUUAGCAGACUGCAGGUGUAGUUUCCUGCUUUGUCCACAGGGGGCAGCACAGCCCCAAUGUUAAAAACAACCUCACUAAUGUUUACUUCCUGUUUCAGCUCCCUUUCCACAAACGAGGGAAAGUUUAAACAAAACACGUCUAACUUUUACACAAAACAGCGAUGUAAUGUCUAUUAAAACGUUUCAACCUCUUCAUUUGUUAGAGAGAUGGGUCCAGGAAAACAACGAGUUAGUAAACAAAUGGAAGCAGCAAGUAGGAGGAGGAGAUACCCUCGGACGAGACCAGAGCCAGACCCAUCUGAGAUGCUGUUCCUCUGAGUUUCACAAACUUUUAAUGAAAAUCCAAGGUAUCCCUCCUCUUGCAGAUCACACACAGUUGGAGCUGACAGUGGUGUACAAUGCUUGUGUUUGCUUCACUGCUCAGUCUCAGUUCUCAGAAGCUGAGCUGCUCCUCACACAAUCCACAGAGAGAGUUCUACAAGUACACAGUACUUCUACAGAAGAUGACCCUGCUGCCUCGGACCCUCAUUUGUUUUGGAGAACAGUUCUUAAAUCAGUGGGAAACACCGCUUUGGCUCCCUGUGUACUGCGCCUUCUCUGUCUGCAGUGGGCAAUAUGGCUGUCUACCUGUCAGCUGAAAACUAUACAGGAAUUUCAGAAUGAGUUGAUGUCUGUGUUUGAAAGACUGUCUACUGAAGUUUGGGAUAAGGGGAGGAAGUCCUCUGACGAUCCUCUACUGGUGAUGGACCCAAGGAAGCUGGUUGAAUUAUUGCAGAUCUGCACUUACAUUGCCCAAGGUGCAGAAAGCUUGAGUGAAGGUCAGAGUUCAGAAGCGCUGUCUGCUCUCCACACAGCUUCCUCUCUGCCUGCUCCCAGGACUCUAAUAGCAUACACACACCUCCUCUCAGGAUCCUGCCUCGCCCAUAUGGGCCGCCCUCAGAUGGCCUUGCAGUGUUACAGGAAAGCUCUGGAAACAGAUCGCCGGUGUUUGUGUGCUCUGUACCGGAGCAUGCUCAUUUACAGGCAGCUUGGCAACACACAGGCUGAGAUACAAGCUCUGCGUUUGCUGCACUCAACUCUGAUGUUGCCCUCCGCCACAGAGCCCCCUCUGGCCGGUACCCCUCUCCUCUCCCCGUCCUUACUGCUGUGCAGCCAAUCCCUGAGCAGCAUGCUCUCAGUCCCCUCUGCUCUCUCUAUCCUUCACAAUCUGGCCCUGAAGUGUGUGCUCCAUGGGAGGGUGUCAGAGGGUGUUGAAUAUUAUUUAGAUCUGCUGGCUGCUCUUCAAUCAGAAGAUCAACAUGGAAUGCAUGCUGGGAGCCCUCCCCUCCCCAGGUUGCCUGAGCUCUACCUGCAGGCCGGCGCUGCCUUGCUCAUGGCCCAACGCCCCGCUGAUUGUGUUGCGCUGUGCGAUGAAGUCAUCACUACAACACUGGAGCUGCUGCCUGAGAGAGUGGUGUUGGAAGAGCCGGAUGAGGAGUGUGAGGCUGGGAGCAGGGCUCUGAGCGGGGGGGGUGAAGAUAGGGUGGGAAUGCUUCUCUGGACGGCAGCUGCCUACCUCCUCCAUGGUCACUGCAACACUCACCUGAAGGAUUGGAAACAAGCUGUGACUCACUACGCAAGGCCCGUACAAUUGCCUUUAUUUCUGCCUACAGUUUUCGAGAUUAAAAACAAAAAUGUGUUUCAACCUGCUGGUGAAGGUGCGCUUGAAGAAAAGAGGCUUCCAACCGCAGAUUCCCAGUGCAGAUAUGGUUGGAAAGCAGGGAACAGACCUGUGUAUCCUCCAGAGGUUGAAGGGGCUUUCACUGGCGGGUAGAGGCAUCAGCUUCACCCAAACAGACCAACUGAGAGAGGCACUGAGGGACCUACAGCUCAGCCUGCAGGCAUUCCCAGAGUGUGCCACUGCAGGCCUCUGGUGUGGAGAGGUGCUGUGGAGGCUGGGCAGGAGACGGGAGGCAGCGGCUUGUUGGGAAAACACUUGGAGCUUCACCCCACAGUCCUCAGAAGAGAGUCUAUCAGUGUACCUACACGAACCCCAGUCUGGUCCUCAAUUGGACUCCAUGGAGCUGCGCCGCAGAAUACAGGAACUUGGUCCUUUAUUGUGAGCGAGACAAAAGAAGAAUACCCUAUCACUUACUGAACAGGAUCAACUUUCUGUUUCCUGUAAACUGAAACCCAUACCCACAACAAACACGUGUCUACUUGGACAGUAAAAAUAAACAAGUAUUGAAAGUGCAUGGUGUGGUAAAUUUGGCAGAUGUUUUAUUCCUGAAAUUAAGAUGACUUGAUAUGCUGUUGUUUGGUCACAGAGGGUCUCAACUGGCUUGUUAGAAACAAAAUGUGUAUUUUGCCAGGCAUGAGUAAGGGAAUGUUACUUUAAAAUUGAUUGUGGGUUACAUAAGAUAACACAAUACGUACUACUUAAGAAGACACACACAAUAAACUGUGUUACUCUAAAAUGUCUAUUUAUACCUGUUUUUGUAUGGAUUGCCAUUACAAAUAAAACUCACAAAUGACUUGCA